rnacentral:rRNA from 1 species
GUCCUAGCCGUAAACGAUGGUCACUAGGUGUUGGGGGUAUCGACCCCUCCAGUGCCGAAGCUAACGCAUUAAGUGACCCGCCUGGGGAGUACGGCCGCAAGGUUGAAACUCAAAGGAAUUGACGGGGGCCCGCACAAGCGGUGGAGCAUGUGGCUCAAUUCGAGGCUACGCGAAGAACCUUACCUGGGUUUGACAUCCUCGGAAUCCUGCUGAAAGGUGGGAGUGCCCUUCGGGGAGCCGAGAGACAGGUGGUGCAUGGCUGUCGU